CAGGCUUGUUACGCCUCACCAUCAUUUAUCGUGUGCAGGAGUUAUCCCUGUAAGAAUUCAACUUGACUGGAGCUACAACAUGUUCUGCAUGUGCACCUUGCCUCUUUCCCUGUUGUCACGUGUACAAAGUGCUUGAAAAGAGGUGAUACAAACCCCAACGCUGCAGAACUUCAAUACUAAAAGCCUUUAUCAAGUCUAUUAAAUGCCACUGGUACCAGCAGGAGAAAUUGCUUGGCUGGCUCCUGAAAUGUGUCCCCUCUUUGCUGUCAAGAGUGCAGCACUGCCCGAAGUCCACUCAGCCUCGCUCAUGGACUGGCUGAACAAGAUCUACCGUAACCUGCUUGGGAUCGUACCUGAGAAGUUGCACAGGAUCCUCAUAGUCUAUAGGAAGACAAUAACCACCUGCAGCACGAAGCCAGGAUUUUAUGUUUCUUCCCAGGACUGCCCUUCUACCCAGCGCUGGGGAGCUGACAAAACAGCAGGAGAGGGAUUUGGACUGGAUCUAUUAUCAACAAUGCUGUUAAAUCACUUCCAACUGCAAAAUGUUUCCCUAUCAGUUAUGAAAGGAUUUCAAAUUCUGAACUAUCUGCUGGCCACGCACUUCACAUCACAAACUGAACACAAUUCAGAAGCCAGAAUGGUUCAUUUAUACCUAAUCACAGAACCUGGAACUUCUAAGGUGUCUGUGUACCUCCGACACAGAUCCCUGUGCUGGGCAGCGGGAGCACAUCCCAGUUCCCAGGACUCACUAAAGCCCUUCAAGCGGUUGAUAUUAAAGUGGUCAAUACUGGAGUGUCUGCCAUAAAAACAAGAGGACAAACAACAACUUGCUCACAAAAGAGCACACAAAAAGCACAUUUAGGAAUGAAACAACUUCCCUCAAUUAAGAGUUCACAAAAUCGGAGCUUUUUUAUCUAUUCAUCUCCAACACUUGCAUUUCCUGCAGUUGGAGAAGCAUCUGAGUUCAGUUUAAUGUGCUGGGGUGGGGUUUUUAGGCUUUUGAUAAUCCUCCCAUGAUAAUUUAAACUAUCAACUAGGAAACAUAAAGCUUUUCAGCACAGACGACUGAAUCAGCUCUUUGUUGGAUGACGCUUUAUCCCCUUGAAGUAUCCAGGAUGAUUUACUCUAACGGGACAUGCAGACAAAGUGACAUUUUCCUAUCUCGUGCUAUCUAAACACAAGAUUGCAAUUACUCCAACACAACUGGCAUCAGGAUGCGGUGUGCUAUGGGCUUUGCAAUGGUGGCUGUUUAUUAGCUUUCCCAGGACCUGCCUUUUCUAAUUGAGGAGGAAAGAAAAGGAUCUGGAAACAAUCCAUUCUCAGGCCAAGGGUUUUGAAGUCGUUGUUUCAAAUUUGCUGACCUGCUCCAAGGAAAUCCUGCAUAAAUCCAUGGAUCUGCUGAUGAGUAAUAGGGGAGCUCUAGUGGUUUAGUAUUUCGAUGGCAGAAGGGAUGCAGCGCAGGAUUGACAGACUAAAUAUGUGUAUUUACAAGGCACUGAUUGGAGUACAAAGUAAAACUGCAACAAAGACAGCAAUGAACUAAAAGGUAUUCAAAGGGAGCCGAGGCCUAAACCAGAGCACAGAUCAUCUUUAACUGAGUGGUGCUGGAGGGGUGUGAAGCCAGGAGAUGUUUCUUAGUCCUCAAGAGCCAGAGGCUGCUCUUUCCAUAGACCAAACUAUAGAAUUUAGAGCUAAAACAAAGAUCAGGAGGUGAGGACAGCCUUCACCCUUACUUUACAUUUGGAUAUUAGGUUUGUAAAUGGAGCCAUGUACAGAUUUAGGAAUGGUGUUAAGGAAAUGGAGGC
rnacentral:lncRNA from 14 species